rnacentral:lncRNA from 1 species
AUCACUAAAAUAGGGCCAUGUGUCUCAUCCUUAUACUAAAUUUAAUGCAUUUUACAGGUUUCAGGAAUGAGAGUGUUGAAAUGGGCACCAACAUAACGUUACCCUGUACCACAGAAAAGAUGAUGAUUUAUGUAAUCUGGAAAAUCUACUCACGAGAGAAGACCUGUACAAUCUCUGUGACCACAAUCGAUACUGACUACGACAACUGUAAUGAUGGAAAGCAGAUAAUCAGUAAAGAUGGAGAUUACAGCUUGUUCAUCCCUCAGUUUUCAAUCAAGAAUGAAGGCCAGUACAUCUGUGACGUGUCUCACCGUGCCGGGGGCUUUACAGAAACAAUUCAUGUGUCUGCAUACGUCCGUCCGACACUGACUGGCUGGCUGGAAAAGGAUGAAGAUGGUCACACUUUUGCCGUCUGUGAAGCUCAGAGUAAACCAGCAGCUUCCAUUUACUGGGAAUCCCAGUGGAACAUCUCCUCACUCAGAACGAGCUCAUCUAAAAACGACAGUGGACUUUUCACAGUGACGAGCCGUUUACAGCUUCCUCAUGAUGCAUCUUACGCUGAUCUGACCUGCGUGGUCUCUGCCAGCCCCUCCAACUACUGGAAAGAGAUUCAAUUCAACACCUUCGGGUAUAAGGGCUAUUGCGCACUAUUGGAUUUGUCUGGGUAUUUUUGCCUUUUUCAUCAUAACACAUUUGAUCAUCUUUGCCGUCUUUUUGAUCAUUAAAAAAUGUGGCCUGCAUGACUGAAAUCUCAACACCAAAAAAAGAAAACCCCAAGGAUAAAGCAUUUAAUUUUCUAAUUAUGUAAUUUAAAUAAUUUAAUUUAUUUGUAUUUAUUAACUAACUAGCUUAUUAUGUAAGAUUUCUGUGUGAUGUAACAGGCAGUUUGCUUUAGAAUAUUUGUUUCUAAUUUCAGGAAUAUGAAGAAGAAGAAGUGGAAGUGGAAAUUGGUUUCUAUGUGAAUGUUGACCAACUUAUGUCCUGAUUUAGACUUGAAACUUACGACCUACACAAGUUCAGUGUUUAAGGGAAGCGGCAAAAUAACUCAAAAAAGAUAGUGAACUUCCUGCAGGUCUAACAGCAGGUCUCGUUGGUGUUUUUUAAAAUGACAGGAUAUUGUGUCGAUUUCUACAGUCUAUGUAUGGAUUUUUUUAGCUUUAAAUAUGUAAUCUUGUUUUAAGUUCUGCCUUUAUGUUUGACAUGACUGGGGUCUAUGCAAUGUAUGCAUCUAAAUGCAACCAGAGCCAUGUGGCGAGAUGUAAAGAAAUUUAAUGUAAAAAGACAAUAUGCAUAAAAUAUAUUAUAUUAUAUUUAAAUAUGUGUGUGAAUGUGUCAUGCUCUGUCUGGAUGUGGUGUGAUUUAAUGCACCCUGUUUAUUUUUUUAUUUCUUCCCAUGAAAGCCAAUUUUUAUUCUUAUUUAUUUAUGUAACACCUUGAAUUUCUUCCAAUAGAAAAAAUAGAAGAGUGAUUAAACUCUCUGUGCACAUGCUCAGUUUGACUGUCUUCUUGCUAACAAAAAGUGAGCCACAUUUGAAACUCCCAAAGAGUUUUUUUUCUAUCAGGUGUAUUUAUUGGAUACUGUAUUGAGAUUAAAUGUCCAGGAAUCCAAACCAGUAUUAGUAGAAUCACUGUUUUUUAAGAUAAACAUAGAAAUGUGGUAGACUGUGGUAAUAAAGAAGGAGGCCGCUCCA